rnacentral:tRNA from 2 species
GCACCAGUGGUUUAAUGGUAAAAUCGAAGCUUCCCAUGCUUUGGCUCCGGGUUCGAUUCCCGGCUGGUGCA